rnacentral:rRNA from 1 species
GACGAACGCUGGCGGCGUGCCUAACACAUGCAAGUCGAACGCAUUUUCUUUCACCGUAGCUUGCUACACCGACGGACAAUGAGUGGCGAACGGGGGAGUAACCCGUGGGUAACCUGCCCAUCAGCGGGGGAUAACACUUGGAAACAGGAGCUAAUACCGCAUAAUUCCAUUUACUGCAUGGUAGAUGGCUGAAAGGCGCUUUUGCGUCACUUAUGGAUGGACCGGCGGUGCAUUGGCUAGUCGGUGGGGUAACGGCCUACCAAGGCUGGGAUGCAUCGCCGACCGGAGAGGGUGGUCAGCUGCACUGGGACUGAGACACGGCCCAGACUCCUUGGGGAGGCAGCAGUAGGGAAUCUUCGGCCAUGGGCGCAAGUCUGACCGAGCAACGCCGCGUGAGUAAAGAACGUUGUCGGGUCGGGAAACUCGGUCGUUAGGAAAGAACAAGGAUGAGAGUGGAAAGUUCAUACCGUGACGGUAUCUAACCAGAAAGCCACGGCUAACUACGUG